AUGGUCAUUCAACAAUCAAAUGCAAACCAAAAUCAUUCAGGGAAACCAAGUUCAUCCUCUAAUUAUCAACGCCACAAAAACCUAAUUGUGAAAUUAAAUGGUUGGGGAAGACGAAACAACUACAUAAUCUUGGGGGAAACUCUCAAUAUACCAAAGGCUACAUCUCAGUGUCAGCGAUUUUCACAAUGA